rnacentral:lncRNA from 1 species
GUCCCCAAAGCCACACCUCCAGUGACCCACCUCUUCAACCACACAGUGCUGCCACACAGUUGUCACUCGCUAGUUCAUUCAAAUUAUUAAUCCAUCAAAUGGCUUAAUCCACUGUUGAGGUUACAGCUCUAUUAAUCUGAACUCUUUACCUCUGCCUAUGGCUGAGUAGCCUGGAUAUGUGAGCUUUAUGGGAAAAAAAUCACACCCAAACCUUAACAACCACUUAACGUAUUUGAGCUGGUUGCCUUAGUGCUGCAGUGGGCAUACCGAACAUUCUCAGUGGGUCGUUUAAGAUUGCAUGGUGUACAUGCCAGACACCGUUAUUGCCAGAGCCUGGGAAGGUACUCAGUAAAAGAGGUAAGUCUCCUUUCUUUCUUUUCUUUCCUUAGGCAGAAAGAUUGAUAGAGCAGUGCCAGAAUCAGGACCCAGAACUCCUGAGGCUUCAGGCUCCUGAGAGAAUCAAUUAGAUGUCAGCUACAGAAAGGUCUCUGACUUUAUUUCUACAGGUUAUUGCCCUGGGCUAAUGGAGCAAGUUAAAUUGCAUCACACAGAGUGCUUGGGGCUCAUUUUUACCAGAAUAGAAAGUCUUGAGGUGUUCGAUAUUAUUUUGCAAGCACAACAGCCUCUGGAGUUUCAAAUGAAGCUCUGUUAAGCCAACCUAGGUCUUCUCAGUUAUUUACUUCAAAAGUAGCAAUUGCAUUUUCACAUGCAAUCCAGAAGAACAAUACAUAAUGGAACAUUUUGCAAAGUCUCUUCCCUCAAAAUUAUUUGCAGGUCACUAAUCUAAAACAAAAACUGGAUGAGCAGUCUCUUUUAUCCCAUCCAUGAAACCUCAUGGGCAGUCUUGCUGCUAAUAUAAUUAGGGAAAGUAAAAACAGGAUAAAACACAAGACAUUGGAUGGACAGAAAAAUGUUCCUGUCAAUGGCUCCUGCAAAGCUGAACUGAUCCCAAUACCUCCACAAGACAGUUCUUGAGGGUACUUCUGUUUGAGGUUUUGCUUUUGUUUUUAUUUUAAUUGUCCUUUGAACAAUACAAUUCAUAGAGCUACUUCUAUCAGAGGGAUUUCAUGUUCCUGCUUAUGAAAAACACAGGGAAAAGGCUAGCUGCCCUUCUCCAAGCCCACCCUACACUUCACUGUCCUAUUCCAGACCUCCUUUUGGGAGAGAUGUGGCCUCUUAUGUGAGCCAAAUGGGUGCCUAACUAAAAGAAAUGUCAUUAGUAAACCUUUCUCUUCAAUGCAACAGAAGUCCCCAGUUUCUGUUAAAAAGGGCUCCUGGGAAGGAAUGUUUGUUUGCAUUUUGAGGGCUACAUGUAAAAUCUGGGUGUUUUUCUCAUUCUGAUCCACACACCAUUACACACUUUAAUGAUCUAUAUUAAAAUUUCCAAAUGAAGCCAUAAGAUAAAGGAUUGUUAAUUGUAUUUAUUUACCUUCAAAGUUUUUUUAGUUAUUGACAUCUUUGCAACAUGGUUGCUUCCUUUUCUGAGAGACAAUUAUAAUAUUUAAAGAUUUGUUAAUGCAAUUAUAAUCUAGAAGUAAGUAACAGGUAUUCUUCUGCCUUAUUGGAGGGAUAAGAGUUUAUUGGGGAAAACUACUGGAUGUGUGACUCUGGAGAAGUCUUUUUGCUUCUUGCAAAGUGUGAGGACUAGCUACAGCAAUGUUUGUCUUGAGAUGGUAUUCAAGUGUAAUUUAAAGUGUGUUCUAUGACUCUGGAUUAGUCUCCUUUCUGUUGCUAUUAAAAUACCUGAGGCUAUCUUAAAAGAGAAGAGAUUUAUUCAGCACAUAGUUUUGGAGGCUGAAAGUGUGACAUUAGUUAGCCUCAUUUGUUUUGGCCCCAGAGGAAGAUCUAACGGCAGGUGGCAUCACAAUGCUGGGUGUGCAUGGGCAGAUCACUGGGUGAAACAGGAAACCAGGGAGACUCAGGAGCCAGGGUGCUGUCAUGAGAACUAGCCAGGGUGCCAUGAGAAGUACAUUAAUCCCUCUGAUGGGGGAAGCCCAAUGGCCUACCCACCUUCCACUAGAACCUACAUCUUAAAGUUUCCACCACCUCAACACCACUGUACUGAGCACUAAACUUACAUGCUUGAAACUUUGAGAGACACUGCAAACCUUAUCAGAACUAUAGCAGAUUCUUAGUGGAAUUUUUUGUGUAAUCCUCCAGUGGAUACUAGAAACAUCUGGUUGACUUUCUUGAUUGUGUAUUUUCAGUGGAAUAAAAACCUUGAUUCUGAACUCAAUGGUUACAGAAACGUGCUCUGCAAGUAUGAGAUAGAGCACUACAGAGUCAGAACAGAUGACCAUCCAAAGAGGGCUCUUCCUAGUGAUUCACGAAUCCACAGUUCUGCAUUUGCGUGAAGGAGCCGGUCUACCUAUGAAAUCACUGUUCUUUACCAAUUGACCUUAUAGCAACCUCAGACCUUUCAAACUGAGAAACAUAAUAACUUGUAUUGUUUUAGAUGACUGCAUUGGAUUAUGUGACAAUAACCAUUUAAAUAUAAAUAGAUACCUAGGAGACCACAUGAAUAGUAUCUAGUUAUUUUUUUCUGACUUUCUCCAAGUUUUAUCCCUGAUUUUUAAUUGCUGCUUCUAUUUUAAAAUUUGACUAACCUUUUCAGAUGUACAAGUUGUUUAGCAGUAUCCCCAGCCACUACCAACUAGUUGUCAGUAAAGUGCCCCAGUCCCAAAUAUGAUAAUCACAAAUGUCUCCAGACAUUGCUGCUUGCCCUUGAGGAACAAAAUCACUUUGGAGUGAGACUUGGUAGUAGUCUAUGCUUUAUCUUUUUCUAAUUCUGAAUUUUUAUUCUUGACUUUAUGACCAAGUGCUUAGAAAUUGUUACUCUUAUUGUCACUAUUAUUCUACUGAACAUCACUAAUAUCUUUCAUCUAUACAGGAUAGCACAAUGUACUAAACAUUUCCACCCACAUUAUCUGUGGAGAUUAAGGGAUAGCAAUUAUUGUCUAUAACAAAUUAGAAAAGAGAAGUAUCUUUUCUGUGAUUGUCCCUGCCCCCUUCUUAUUGUGUUUGGAAUAUAGCACAUUGAACACAGAGAUCUUGCCAUAAGGAAUACAUAUAGGAUGAGUCAGGCAUCAUGUAAAUGGUAGCUGGCCCAGUAUUUUCAAGACACAUAAAGAAAAGAGAUGUUUCUUGAAAUGCCACUCUUCUCUUCCCCUCCUUGGCUGGCAGGAUUCACAUAUCACCUAAUAUACACAGGGGAACACACAUCUACAAUGAAAACCUACAGGUGGCUUUGUUGAACUUCCUGAUCCCCUUGGCUCUUUUCUUAAAAUUGCAAUCUUUAACCUCUACUGGACAGUCACAGUGUUAUCACGCCACACUAACCAAAAACCAGAUGGCACUCUUGAGAAAGAGAAAAUAACAUUUCCCCCACACUUCCCACCUCCUCCCUAGUGUUCUUACCUGCUUAAGAAUUUCAGCAGCUGUUUCAUGUGAACAAUCAAAUAUCACAUAGAACUCCUUGCCCUUCUUCAUCUCCUUGAGUAAAGGCUUGGCAUCCUUAUUCCCAGAGGGCAGCUGGCGGAUUUUGAUUUUAAUGUUGUAUCUGGAGGGAGCUUUGAUGAGCUCUUGCAGACGAAUUAGACCUGGAAAAUGACAUCCAAUCAUGCAACAGAGACUGCUCCGUAUUGUUUAUUGCCAUUUACAGUCAAAUGCAUAUCAUUCCCAAAAUGCAUCAAGCGGCCACCUACCUAAAGGUUACACUAUUGACUUUCCAUUUGUCAUUCCUCUUUCAGUGGUAGAUUAUACUGAUAUUUUCUCUUUGUGGGUAUGUGCAGCUUGGAAGCAUAAUUUUCCCAAGUGCACUUUGAAUUUAUUUAGAAUGCAAUUGUCCUUUCCACUUUUAAGCCAAUACUUCAGGUCUUUAACAAAUCAAGUCUGUGAAACUUUUGCAAACAAAAAAGUUGCUUGAAGUUUCCAAAGUUGCUCAGUGAAAUAGAUAACACCUGCUUUCUUAAAAAGCCCAAAUAAUUCACCAGGCACAGUGGCACAUGCCUGUAUUCCCAGCAGCCCAGGAGGCUGAGGCAGGAGGAUCACAAGUUCAAAGCCAGCCUUAGUUAGCAACAGUGAGGCGCUAAGCAACUCAGUGAGACCCCUGUCUCUAAAUAAAAUACAAAAUAGCACUGGGGGUGAGGCUUAGUGGUUGAGUGCCCCUGAGUUCAUUCCCCGGUAUCGGCACCCGCCUCCCCCCAAAUAAUCCAAAGUAAUUCAAGGNAACCUUAUCAGAACUAUAGCAGAUUCUUAGUGGAAUUUUUUGUGUAAUCCUCCAGUGGAUACUAGAAACAUUUGGUUGACUUUCUUGAUUGUGUAUUUUCAGUGGAAUAAAAACCUUGAUUCUGAACUCAAUGGUUACAGAAACGUGCUCUGCAAGUAUGAGAUAGAGCACUACAGAGUCAGAACAGAUGACCAUCCAAAGAGGGCUCUUCCUAGUGAUUCACGAAUCCACAGUUCUGUAUUUGCGUGAAGGAGCCGGUCUACCUAUGAAAUCACUGUUCUUUACCAAUUGACCUUAUAGCAACCUCAGACCUUUCAAACCGAGAAACAUAAUAACUUGUAUUGUUUUAGAUGACUGCAUUGGAUUAUGUGACAAUAGCCAUUUAAAUAUAAAUAGAUACCUAGGAGACCACAUGAAUAGUAUCUAGUUAUUUUUUUCUGACUUUCUCCAAGUUUUAUCCCCUGAUUUUUAAUUGCUGCUUCUAUUUUAAAAUUUGACUAACCUUUUCAGAUGUACAAGUUGUUUAGCAGUAUCCCCAGCCACUACCAACUAGUUGUCAGUAAAGUGCCCCAGUCCCAAAUAUGAUAAUCACAAAUGUCUCCAGACAUUGCUGCUUGCCCUUGAGGAACAAAAUCACUUUGGAGUGAGACUUGGUAGUACUCUAUGCUUUAUCUUUUUCUAAUUCUGAAUUUUUAUUCUUGACUUUAUGACCAAGUGCUUAGAAAUUGUUACUCUUAUUGUCACUAUUAUUCUACUGAACAUCACUAAUAUCUUUCAUCUAUACAGGAUAGCACAAUGUACUAAACAUUUCCACCCACAUUAUCUGUGGAGAUUAAGGGAUAGCAAUUAUUGUCUAUAACAAAUUAGAAAAGAGAAGUAUCUUUUCUGUGAUUGUCCCUGCCCCCUUCUUAUUGUGUUUGGAAUCUAGCACAUUGAACACAGAGAUCUUGCCAUAAGGAAUACAUAUAGGAUGAGUCAGGCAUCAUGUAAAUGGUAGCUGGCCCAGUAUUUUCAAGACACAUAAAGAAAAGAGAUGUUUCUUGAAAUGCCACUCUUCUCUUCCCCUCCUUGGCUGGCAGGAUUCACAUAUCACCUAAUAUACACAGGGGAACACACAUCUACAAUGAAAACCUACAGGUGGCUUUGUUGAACUUCCUGAUCCCCUUGGCUCUUUUCUUAAAAUUGCAAUCUUUAACCUCUACUGGACAGUCACAGUGUUAUCACGCCACACUAACCAAAAACCAGAUGGCACUCUUGAGAAAGAGAAAAUAACAUUUCCCCCACACUUCCCACCUCCUCCCUAGUGUUCUUACCUGCUUAAGAAUUUCAGCAGCUGUUUCAUGUGAACAAUCAAAUAUCACAUAGAACUCCUUGCCCUUCUUCAUCUCCUUGAGUAAAGGCUUGGCAUCCUUAUUCCCAGAGGGCAGCUGGCGGAUUUUGAUUUUAAUGUUGUAUCUGGAGGGAGCUUUGAUGAGCUCUUGCAGACGAAUUAGACCUGGAAAAUGACAUCCAAUCAUGCAACAGAGACUGCUCCGUAUUGUUUAUUGCCAUUUACAGUCAAAUGCAUAUCAUUCCCAAAAUGCAUCAAGCGGCCACCUACCUAAAGGUUACACUAUUGACUUUCCAUUUGUCAUUCCUCUUUCAGUGGUAGAUUAUACUGAUAUUUUCUCUUUGUGGGUAUGUGCAGCUUGGAAGCAUAAUUUUCCCAAGUGCACUUUGAAUUUAUUUAGAAUGCAAUUGUCCUUUCCACUUUUAAGCCAAUACUUCAGGUCUUUAACAAAUCAAGUCUGUGAAACUUUUGCAAACAAAAAAGUUGCUUGAAGUUUCCAAAGUUGCUCAGUGAAAUAGAUAACACCUGCUUUCUUAAAAAGCCCAAAUAAUUCACCAGGCACAGUGGCACAUGCCUGUAUUCCCAGCAGCCCAGGAGGCUGAGGCAGGAGGAUCACAAGUUCAAAGCCAGCCUUAGUUAGCAACAGUGAGGCGCUAAGCAACUCAGUGAGACCCCUGUCUCUAAAUAAAAUACAAAAUAGCACUGGGGGUGAGGCUUAGUGGUUGAGUGCCCCUGAGUUCAUUCCCCGGUAUCGGCACCCGCCUCCCCCCAAAUAAUCCAAAGUAAUUCAAGGGUUUCUUUGGGGUUGCUAACUUUUUUAAGUUUGUCAUCAAGUAUUUACAUACAAUGUGUUGUUUACCAGCUACUUCAGCUGUUGCAAACAAUCUGUCAGUGAUGACUACAUGAACUAAAUGACUCUAUUUCUUGCUAAAACAUUUGAAUGUUGAAUUGGAUAAUCUUUACUUGAUUCAAAAUACUACAGAAUAUUCUUAGAUAUUUUAAGAAUAAAAGCAGAAAAAAAUUUAAAUUGACCAUUGGAAGUUGUAUACAGCUGACUAAUUUGACAGAGAAUGUUCUCUUCAUCCAGGUAUGGAUCUACUGAGCUGCACCAUUCCCUAAGAGAUGUCCACCAUGAGGUCAAGACAGGCGGGCUUAUGAAACCUGCAUCUUGUUUCCCGUAAUGUUAGCUGGCAUUUGCUACACUGCAUGAUGUUGUCUCUCACUCAAGGACUCCCAUCACAUAGGAAAAUUGACUUUCUUUUAAAUAAGUAGUUCAGUGCCUUCAGUAUUUGUCAGCAUCAAGUAAUCAAUAGGGAAUAUUAAGCUUUACAAGUAUUCAGAUGGAAAUUGUCAAAUGCACUGUGCAAGAUAGCACAUGGAUUCCAGCUACUUCCAGACUGGAUGCACGUAUUUCUUCUUAUUAUUUUAUUUAUCUUAUUAUUUUUUUCCUAAGCAGUCACAUUUAUUGAAGCUUGAAUGGGAAAGGUUUCUCUAGUACUGGAGUUAGGUCUAGUUCUGAAAAACAGUAAAUGACAAUGAUCUGCUUUUCAGAGUCAGUUGGAGCAAUGGAGGUGGGGAAGGUUGUUGUAGAGCCAUAUCAAGAUUUAGUGUACUAUGUUUUUCUUCACAAAAAUUAAAAUUUAAAGAAUAACAGCCUUAUUGGGCUUUGCUCCUUUUCAAAUCAAUCAUGUGGUUGAAGAUUCUCAAGUACCCAAAAUGAGCCACUUGUCUUCUUAUUUCUGGAUUCUUUUGUCAUGAACCACUGAAGAGUACUUAUAAAGGGGAAAAAUUGAGCACAUGGACCUAUAUAUAUUUUUUUAUUUGUUACAUUCUUUAAUCCUUCUAGUAAUCCUAUGAAGCUACCCUUAUUAUCUUUAUUAUUCAAAUGCAGAAACUAAGGCCCAGAGUAACUAGUCAGGGUUGCAAAGAUAGUUAGGAGGAACAAAUAGAUUAAAAUUGUUAUUUGUGAGUUUAAUGCUUAAUCUUUCCACUUCACUGUCCUGCCUCAUAUAUACAAGCUAUUGGUGCUGAGGGAACAGAAACAGUUUAGGAUUAUUUGAUGAGGUGGGAAAUAAACAGAAUCAGGGACCCAUUUUCCUUUCUUCUUUUCCCCAGGCUUCCUGCUUUGCAAUCAUGUUUUUGUUUUUUUCUUUUCUUUUUUUUUUAACUUGAGCAUGACCAUAAAGGAAAGCUCAAUGUGGCCUUUAAAUAAAAUGGGGAAAACAUUUUAAAAGUGCAUUUCAUAUGCUGCAAGGAACUGCUCUUUUGUUCUUUGUUGAAUGGAAUGUCAAUCCUGAAGUGUGUCUUCCAUCCUUGUGAUUUACAUACUCUCUCCUGGCAUUUAAGUUGACACACACGUUUCACUUUAUUCAUUCAUUUUUCAGGGGAAAAUGUUUUCUGGAUGCUCAGUGGAUCUCGAUUCCUAUGUUAAAUCCUGCAAGGCAAACAACAUCCUGCUUCAAGGUCCUAGAGUCCAUUGAACUUUUUUAUACCAUGAACUCUCACAAUGUGGAUAAGGCAUCAAGUACCACCUAAAUUUGUAGGUCAUAAGCGUAGAAGGCUAUAGGCUGGAAUAACUUGCUCAAGGUCACAUAGGUAAUAAUGGCAGAUUAAGUUUUGAAGCCAUAUCUACCUUCUGAGAGCAAACUAGGGCUCUUUAUAAUAAAUCAGUAGGUCUGCCUGACUUUUGAAUUUCAUAUCAAUUUGAUUGACUAUGUAAAUAAAUACCUGAAAAAAAAAAACAGAAAGAAAACUUAGAAACAGCAUAAAAACUAAACUUCAGUUUGGCACAUGAGGCUAUUCAGAAACAUAAUGUCUCACCCCAACAAAUGGAAUCAUCCAUUUUCACAGCUGUUUCAUAAAAUAAAGCAUAUUUUGAUACCAAGAUGGGGGGGGGGGAAGAUAACACCUCAACAAAGAUGAUCAGUUUCUAAAUGGAAGUGAUAUGUUCUACAGGAAAACACCUCUGUUCCCCAACUUUUCUCAUUUUGUCAGUAUGCACGUAAAUGGACCAUAGGAAUGGAGAGGAUCCACACAUUUAAAGAUUACAGACCCAAGUUGUGAGCAGAACAAUGAGCCAGGAACACUGAUUUUACAUUUCUCUUCCUGAAGCAAUUGUUUGCUUAAGAAAACCCUUUCUGCCUUUAUUAACAAAUGAUGUAGAAUUUACAAUUCAAAGGCCUUUUGCAUUCACAGAAGACAAAAUUUAGAGAAAGCUUUCUCUUAUAUUUGCAUUUUUUGCAGCAAUCCUUCAAUCCUGUACAUUUAAUGAAUAGUUAAAAAUUAUUUGCUAAACAAAUAAUUACCUCAGGGAGAGGAAAUCAAUGUAGGGACAACACCUGGCUUUGCUAUCAUCCUCCUGGGUCUGAAUGCCACCCUGAUGAAGUCACCCAGCCCUGCCGAGUCUCCAGGUGCAUGCAAAACUGGUACUGGGGUGUUUUUCUAGCCCACUGAGGUGAAGGGACUUUAAAAUGAAAUGCAGAUAAGGGGAAAAUCAGACAAACCCAAGCGAGUGACAUUAUACAAUAAAACUGAUCACAUCUUGACUCUUCAAAAAUGUCAGUGUCAUGAAAGGAAGGCUGAACUGUUCUGGACCAAAGGAGACUGAAGAAAACUGACAAAUCAAUGCAUGACUGAUCCUGGGACAAUUAAAGAAAAUGAAUUUAUGACAUAUAUAAUUUGAUAUAUAUUUAGAUGAUAGUAUUGUGUCAUUAUUAAGUUUCCUGUACUUAAAAAUUAUAGGGUAGUUAUAACAAAGAAGAUCCUUGUUCUUAGGAAAUAUACUCUAUGGUUUGUAUGGGUAAAAAGGUCUCAAUACCCACAAUUUACUUUCAAAUGAUUCAAGGGUACUACUACUUACUAUUAUUGUCAUUGCUGUUUAGUUGUUUGGAUAUGACAAAAUGCUAGAGCAUUAAAGCAAAUGUGAUCAAAUAAUAGCAACUCCUGAAUCUAGAAGAAGGUGCACAGAAGUUUACAUUAUCACACACUUUUCUCUAAGUCCUAAUCUUUCUAAAUAAAAAGACAAAAUGUGCAAAUAUAAAAAGAAUAACAUUAGCUCCUCCUUCUACCACCCCUCCCCUCAGGAGGGUGACUGGAAAUGUACCUUUGGUUUGAAAGUGCUUUGGAAAAAACAUUUCUUAUUUCACUUGAGUUUGAGCUGGGCUCUGCAUAUAGAGAUAACUUUUAAAAAUGUCCAAACGUCCAAUUCUUAAACACUUGCUUUGGCCGCCUGUCUUUGUGUGCUCACAUAAGACAGAAAAUGGUAAUUUGCAUGCAUGUUGACUGAUUUGGGCAACAAGUGGAGCAUAUGGAAGAGGAAAAAAAAAUCCUGUUAUUUCCAGUGGCAUUUAAAAUUUCCUGUGCCUUCUCCUGAAAUAAUAAUAAACCUUGCUAUUUACAUUGCUUCUUUCUAUGAAUUAUGCUACAUGCCCUAUAAAUAGCUCAAUAAACCUGGAAUAUACCACAGAGAUGGAUGUGUGUUAGUAUUGUUUUAAAGGGAGGAAAGUGAGGCAUGGUGAGGUUAAUUGUUUGGAUCGGCCUGAAAAUGAGUCAUAGAUGCCAGGAAUUGAAAGCAACCUUAAAGGUCAGACCCCUACUUGAUGCACAAAUCCCCUCCACACAGCUGCUG